rnacentral:rRNA from 1 species
AUCAACGCUGGCGGCGUGCCUCAGACAUGCAAGUCGAACGAUUAAAGCUCUCUUCGGAGAGUGUAUAGAGUGGCGCACGGGUGAGUAACACGUAAGUAAUCUACCUUUGAGUGGGGAAUAACAGUCGGAAACGACUGCUAAUACCGCAUAAUGCAGCGGCAUCGCAAGAUGACAGUUGUUAAAGAUUUAUCGCUUGAAGAGGAGCUUGCGGCAGAUUAGCUAGUUGGUAAGGUAAUGGCUUACCAAGGCUACGAUCUGUAACCGGUCUAAGAGGACGGUCGGUCACACUGACACUGAAUAACGGGUCAGACUCCUACGGGAGGCAGCAGUCGGGAAUUUUGGGCAAUGGGCGAAAGCCUGACCCAGCAACGCCGCGUGAAGGAUGAAGUAUUUCGGUAUGUAAACUUCGAAAGAAUGGGAAGAAUCAAUGACGGUACCAUUUAUAAGGUCCGGCUAACUACGU